rnacentral:rRNA from 1 species
ACUAACGCUGGCGGCGUGCCUAACACAUGCAAGUCGAACGAAGUAGCAAUACUUAGUGGCAGACGGGUGAGUAACGCGUAGGUAAUGUGCCCUCCUGCGGGGGAUACCGUUCCGAAAGGGACGUUAAUUCCGCAUAACAUGCUUUAGGGGCAUCUCUAGAGCAUCAAACUUCCGGGGUAGGGGGAGCAACCUGCGUUCUAUCAGCUUGUUGGUGGGGUAACGGCCUACCAAGGCUACGACGGAUAACUGGUCUGAGAGGAUGACCAGUCACACUGGGACUGAGACACGGCCCAGACUCCUACGGGAGGCAGCAGUGAGGAAUAUUGCGCAAUGGGCGAAAGCCUGACGCAGCGACGCCGCGUGGAGGAUGAAGGCCUUCGGGUUGUAAACUCCUGUCAGUGGGGAAGAGAACGGACGGUACCCACUGAGGAAGCUUCGGCUAACUACGU